UACGUAGGGUGCAAGCGUUGUCCGGAAUUAUUGGGCGUAAAGAGCUCGUAGGCGGUUUGUUGCGUCGGCUGUGAAAUCCCGAGGCUCAACCUCGGGUCUGCAGUCGAUACGAGCAAACUAGAGUGUUGCAGGGGAGACUGGAAUUCCUGGUGUAGCGGUGAAAUGCGCAGAUAUCAGGAGGAACACCGGUGGCGAAGGCGGGUCUCCGGGCAACAACUGACGCUGAGGAGCGAAAGCGUGGGGAGCGAACAGG
rnacentral:rRNA from 1 species